GUCAGAUGGCACCGGACACCGGUACCCAUCCCUAGUCGUGGCUAACUGCGCUAACUCCGACUCACAUGUAAACAUAGGUUUUCAUCUGAUCCGGGCCGACAGAACAGCGGAGAGUGUCUCCACUGAUGGAUGUUUCUGGACUCUGGUGCUGCAGACACGGGGGGAGCGAUGAGAGCUGAAGGAGACAACCAGCUGACACUUUGAUGACGUCCCUCCUAAAGUUCACCAGAUGAGAUCCAAAGACAAAAGCAGCAGGAAGCAACGCUCUGCCAUCGUGCUGAUGAGCAAGCUACAUCAACCCUACUGAAUCCCUCUCUGUGUGGAUCUCACAGAGAGGUGGAGCACAGUUUCAUGAUACAGAGGAGAGCGACUCAGAAAGUGUCUGUCCAGGGUGGGAGGGGUCACUCUCAGGGUCCUGGAGGUGUCCAGGUGUUGGAAAGAAGGGAGACUGCAGACAGUCUCCUUCUCAGCCAAAUGGAUGACACACUGCAGCAGAAAGACUUCACAGUCUCCACUCAUGUAGGAUGAUGGAGGCUGGUGGGGCUGGUUCCUCCUGCAGACGUUCCAACAGCUGCAGUUCCUCUAACGGCCACUUGAAGCUGACUCCAAAAGCGAGUUAAUAUUUACAGUUUUCAGGGUCUGUGUUCAAACUUUAAACCUGAUGCACUGAAAUAAACCCAGGUGUGAAUCCAGAGAGUCUCAUGUGUGGUGUGUGAGUGUGGAGUAGGUCUGGUCCUGGUCCCUGGCGGCUGGAUGGAGGCUCUGG